rnacentral:rRNA from 1 species
AGAGUUUGAUCCUGGCUCAGGACGAACGCUGGCGGCGUGCCUAAUACAUGCAAGUGGGACGCAAGGAAACACACUGUGCUUGCACACCGUGUUUUCUUGAGUCGCGAACGGGUGAGUAACGCGUAGGUAACCUGCCUAUUAGCGGGGGAUAACUAUUGGAAACGAUAGCUAAUACCCCAUAAUAUUAAUUAUUGCAUGAUAAUUGAUUGAAAGAUGCAAGCGCAUCACUAGUAGAUGGUCCUGCGUUGUAUUAGCUAGUUGGUAAGGUAAGAGCUUACCAGGCGACGAUACAUAGCCGACCUGAGAGGGUGAUCGGCCACACUGGGACUGAGACACGGCCCAGACUCCUACGGGAGGCAGCAGUAGGGAAUCUUCGGCAAUGGACGAAAGUCUGACCGAGCACGCCGCGUGAGUGAAGAAGGUUUUCGGAUCGUAAAGCUCUGUUGUAAGUCAAGAACGUGUGUGAGAGUGGAAAGUUCACACAGUGACGGUAGCUUACCAGAAAGGGACGGCUAACUACGUGCCAGCAGCCGCGGUAAUACGUAGGUCCCGAGCGUUGUCGGGAUUUAUUGGGCGUAAAGGGAGCGCAGGCGGUCAGGAAAGUCUGGAGUAAAAGGCUAUGGCUCAACCAUAGUGUGCUCUGGAAACUGUCUGACUUGAGUGCAGAAGGGGAGAGUGGAAUUCCAUGUGUAGCGGUGAAAUGCGUAGAUAUAUGGAGGAACACCAGUGGCGAAAGCGGCUCUCUGGUCUGUCACUGACGCUGAGGCUCGAAAGCGUGGGUAGCGAACAGGAUUAGUUACCCUGGUAGUCCACGCCGUAAACGAUGAGUGCUAGGUGUUAGGCCCUUUCCGGGGCUUAGUGCCGGAGCUAACGCAAUAAGCACUCCGCCUGGGGAGUACGACCGCAAGGUUGAAACUCAAAGGAAUUGACGGGGGCCCGCACAAGCGGUGGAGCAUGUGGUUUAAUUCGAAGCAACGCGAAGAACCUUACCAGGUCUUGACAUCCCGAUGCUAUUCUUAGAGAUAGGAAGUUACUUCGGUACAUCGGAGACAGGUGGUGCAUGGUUGUCGUCAGCUCGUGUCGUGAGAUGUUGGGUUAAGUCCCGCAACGAGCGCAACCCUUAUUGUUAGUUGCCAUCAUUAAGUUGGGCACUCU